rnacentral:rRNA from 1 species
UACGUAGGGUGCAAGCGUUGUCCGGAAUUAUUGGGCGUAAAGAGCUCGUAGGCGGUCUGUCGCGUCGAAUGUGAAAACCCGGGGCUCAACCCCGGGCCUGCAUUCGAUACGGGCAGACUAGAGUUCGGUAGGGUAGUCUGGAAUUCCUGGUGUAGCGGUGAAAUGCGCAGAUAUCAGGAGGAACACCGGUGGCGAAGGCGGGUCUCUGGGCAGUAACUGACGCUGAGGAGCGAAAGCGUGGGGGGCGAACAGG